AUACAGGUGGUAAAAUUUCAUUAUGAUAACAAAACAUGAAUCUGGCAAUGUACAGUGAAUUAACUUGGAAAAUGUUUAAAAUGCCUAAUUUCAUAAAUAGAGGUGCUGUAUGCGCACGGAAAUCAGAAUUUGUAAUAGCACGCACAGCACGUUUUUGUAGGUAAUAUAUUCUAUUUAAAUUUGUAACAUAGGUGGACGACCAUACCAAGGUUGCAAUAUGUAAUGAAGGGAUAAACCAGUGUGUAAUACAAUGAAAAUUUAGUUUUACAAGAUAAAUAAAAACGAG